rnacentral:rRNA from 1 species
ACCGGCGCACGGGUGCGUAAUGCGUAUGCACCUACCUUUUACAGGGGUAUAGUCAAGAGAAAUUUUGAAUAACACCCCAUACGUACACCUGUAGAAAACUCCGGUGGUAAAAGAUGGGCAUGCGUCCUAUUAGUUAGUUGGUGAGGUAACGGCUCACCAAGACCGCGAUAGGUAGGGGUCCUGAGAGGGAGAUCCCCCACACUGGUACUGAGACACGGACCAGACUCCUACGGGAGGCAGCAGUGAGGAAUAUUGGACAAUGGAGGCAACUCUGAUCCAGCCAUGCCGCGUGCAGGAAGACUGCCUAUGGGUUGUAAACUGCUUUUAUACAGGAAGAAACCUUGGUACGUGUACCAAGCUGACGGUACUGUAAGAAUAAGGAUCGGCUAACUCCGUGCCAGCAGCCGCGGUAAUACGGAGGAUCCAAGCGUUAUCCGGAAUCAUUGGGUUUAAAGGGUCCGCAGGCGGUCUUUUAAGUCAGAGGUGAAAUCCUAUCGCUCAACGAUAGAACUGCCUUUGAUACUGAAAGACUUGAGUUAUUGUGAAGUGGUUAGAAUAUGUAGUGUAGCGGUGAAAUGCAUAGAUAUUACAUAGAAUACCGAUUGCGAAGGCAGAUCACUAACAAUACACUGACGCUGAGGGACGAAAGCGUGGGUAGCGAACAGGAUUAGAUACCCUGGUAGUCCACGCCGA